GACGAACGCUGGCGGCGUGCUUAACACAUGCAAGUCGAACGGAAAGGCCCUGCUUUUGUGGGGUGCUCGAGUGGCGAACGGGUGAGUAACACGUGAGUAACCUGCCCUUGACUUUGGGAUAACUUCAGGAAACUGGGGCUAAUACCGGAUAGGAGCUCCUGCUGCAUGGUGGGGGUUGGAAAGUUUCGGCGGUUGGGGAUGGACUCGCGGCGUAUCAGCUUGUUGGUGGGGUAGUGGCUUACCAAGGCUUUGACGGGUAGCCGGCCUGGGAGGGUGACCGGCCACACUGGGACUGAGAUACGGCCCAGACUCCUACGGGAGGCAGCGGUGGGGAAUAGUGCACAAGGGGCGGAAGCCUGAUGCAGCAACGCCGCGUGCGGGAUGACGGCAUUCGGGUUGUAAACCGCUUUCGCCUGUGACGAAGCGUGAGUGACGGUAAUGGGUAAAGAAGCUCCGGCUAACUACGUG
rnacentral:rRNA from 1 species